AUUGAACGCUGGCGGCAGGCCUAACACAUGCAAGUCGAGCGGACGAAGGGAGCUUGCUCCUGGAUUCAGCGGCGGACGGGUGAGUAAUGCCUAGGAAUCUGCCUGGUAGUGGGGAUAACGUCCGGAAACGGGCGCUAAUACCGCAUACGUCCCGAGGGAGAAAGUGGGGGAUCUUCCGACCUCACGCUAUCAGAUGAGCCUAGGUCGGAUUAGCUAGUUGGUGGGGUAAAGGCCUACCAAGGCGACGAUCCGUAACUGGUCUGAGAGGAUGAUCAGUCACACUGGAACUGAGACACGGUCCAGACUCCUACGGGAGGCAGCAGUGGGGAAUAUUGGACAAUGGGCGAAAGCCUGAUCCAGCCAUGCCGCGUGUGUGAAGAAGGUCUUCGGAUUGUAAAGCACUUUAAGUUGGGAGGAAGGGCAGUAAGUUAAUACCUUGCUGUUUUGACGUUACCAACAGAAUAAGCACCGGCUAACUUCGUG
rnacentral:rRNA from 1 species